AAACUAGGAUUAGAUACCCUAUUAUUUAAGAGAAUAAACUAAAUUGUAAGUAAUAAAGAUUAUGAAAGCAAAAAAUUAUGGCGGUAUUUUAAGCUUUUCAGAGGAAUUUGCUCUUUAAUGGAUAAAACACCUAAAUCUUACUUAAAUUUGUUAAUUCAAUUUGUAUACCACUAUAAAAACAAUUUAUAACUUUAAUUGUUGAUAUUUAUUAAAUUAAAAUAUAUUAAGUCAAGGUGCAGUAAAAAUUUAAGGAUGAAGUGAAUUACAUUACUUUUUAGAGAAAUAAAUUUAAAAUAAUAUUUAGGAUUUGAAAGUAAAAUUAAAAUAUAAUGUUAAUUUGAAUUAAGCUCUAAAAUAUGUACACAUCGCCCGUCGCUCUCAUU
rnacentral:rRNA from 1 species